CUAGCCAAAACGUUUCGUUUUCGUUUUUAGGUGCUCCCGAUUUCUCAAAUUUUCGUCAUCGAUAUGUUUCAUUUUCUCAUCGAUUUUAGCAAACAAAAACCGUUGACCUGGUUGUUUCAAAAUAUACAGCGUGAUACAAAAUAUUUCUUGCCAGCGUUCCGAUCACCAAAUCGGACAGCGUCAGCUGUUCUUACGAAAACGAAACGGUUGUUGCCCUAACCAAUUAUUUACGAGCCAAACUUGAAGUUGGGUUAAGAAAAAAUUAUUUAUAAAAGAGACAAGCUAUAUUGCCCUAGUAAUGGUAUCAAAUUUACGUUGAUGCAUACAAAUUGGUUUUUAUUAGCAAUUAAGAUUCGUUUAGCUGUAUUAAAAAAAGCCGUUGACUUUUCAUUUCGGCAAGGAGAAUGUUUGCUUUUUGGAAAAAAGGGUGCACAAAUUUUAGCGUUUUUAAAAGUAAAUCGGAAAAUGUUUGCGAAAGUGAAAGCUAGAGCCUGCCUGAUAAUUAUAUUUUCGCAGUAAAAAAAAAAAAUAAAUGAUAAUAAAAGGAACCUAUACAGGAACUAUGCUUAUGAGCACAAUAGAAAAGAUAUACAAAAACUAAAUUUUAGUUUUUGUAUGUGUGUAUACAUAUGUAUGCAUAUACAUAUGUACAUCUUUUCGAAGAUGCAUUUAAUGGACCCGGUGAUUAGAAUUACGAUAUUUACAUAUGUAUGAACAUGAAUACUUUUGGUGUUUCGAGACAGCUAUAAUCGCUUUAAACGCGUUUUAAUCGUCAACAUUUUACGAAUGCAAUUUUGAUCAAAUCUGUACGUUGACACAAAAUACUAUGAAAUGAUGUAUAUGCACAUACAUAUGCAUGUAAGUAUUACCGCUGGCUUGGAAAAUAUCAAAAGAUGAAGUACGCCGAGAAUAUGGAUUUAAUGCCGGAUCUACUGGAGCAACACCAACAUAUGGAACAUUGACCGUGGAAUGAAUUAUGAAUGAAACAUGGGAAAUAGAAGAGAAGAAAGAACAGACGAAUGAAUCGAAAAUUUAACGAAAAUGUGCGUGUGAGCAUGUCGGAAUGGCGCGAGUUUCAAUCACAAGGGGUAAGAAAUUAAUGAAUUCAACAACGACAUUUGUGGAAAAGUCCUGGAGUCCAUUCUUACAUUCAAUUUAAGACUCAAAUUCGAAAGAGACUUAAUAAUUACAAGCUUUUUUUUUCUAAGAUGUGUAGACAUUUUAUGGGCUAUUCGAUGGUACCAUGGAGGAACAAAGUUACUGAUCCCAUUAGCAUGUAUAAUUUCAACACUGUAACUUAUGGUCUUUCGAGCGCUCUUUAUUCAGCUAUCAGAAGCCUACAAUAUAUGGCAAAAAACCUAUUCUACUGAACCGACUGACUAUUCUUUCCGACUCCGAGUUCGAGCUGGAUCGCAAUGCUGAUGAGGUCAGCUUUCUUUUGGCAAAAACUGGCUUACAGUUGGCCAAGUGGCAUUUCAAUCACGAAAAAUGGGCAGGAGGGAUCCAGGAAGUUCCAAUUAAGGUUGCCGUUCAGAAAUAUCAAAGGCUUUCGGUAUUGCGUGGAGACCUCGGAUAGACACCUUCUGUUUUCGAUGUCAUACACCCAUAAUUUAAAACUUGGGAUGAAAUGAAGCAUUAGUUUGUCUGUAUUUUGCUGAACUGUUUCCAGUGCUGUUCUGCAGUGGAUGGGAAUACAUUCCUCCCACUUUCGUGGGAAACCGCAUUGCGGAAUGGCAAUCAUUCAGCAUUUUCCAAACCAAGUCCAAUCGCAAGCUCAAAUUGCUGAGAAUACACAGAGAGGUACCGACUGGAAGUCUCAGCAAACUCCAAAGUUUGCUGUGCCAACACCGGUACGGCACAAACAUAUGUAUACACACACGGAGUACUCGGUCGUAGCACGUGUGCUGUGACAAAACUCAGAAUAGUUUCCAAAUAUGAAUAGAUAUAUUGCAUCUUUUCUUUUCCGAAAUAAUUGUCUAUCCAUGUAUUGAAAAUGGGAUUCAUUUGUUGACAACCGGCCGGCGUAUAUGUACAUAUGUAUGUACAAUAAAAUAAAAUGGUUUUUUUGUACACAUAGAAUUAUGUAUGUAAUUAUGUAAUUACUCUGUUUUAAUUUUAGAAUCAAAUUGAUCGUUAUUUAAUUAUCAAAGUAAUGAUGGUAGCGCAUACAUUUUCUGGGAGUUAUGGAAUUAACACUAAAACAAUAAUAUAAGAUCUAAAUCAAAUUAUUAUUAUACC